rnacentral:rRNA from 1 species
UGCAUAUCAAUAAGCGGAGGAAAAGAAACCAACAGGGAUUGCCUCAGUAACGGCGAGUGAAGCGGCAAAAGCUCAAAUUUGAAACCCUCGGGAUUGUAAUUUGAAGAUUUGGCAUUGGAGAAAGCUAACCCAAGUUGCUUGGAAUAGUACGUCAUAGAGGGUGACAACCCCGUCUGGCUAACCGUUCUCCAUGUAUUGCCUUAUCAAAGAGUCGAGUUGUUUGGGAAUGCAGCUCAAAGUGGGUGGUAAACUCCAUCUAAAGCUAAAUACUGGUGAGAGACCGAUAGCGAACAAGUACUGUGAAGGAAAGGUGAAAAGAACUUUGAAAAGAGAGUGAAAUAGUAUGUGAAAUUGUUGAUAGGGAAGGAAAUGAGUGGAGAGUGGCCGAGGUUUCAGCCGCCCCUCGUGGGCGGUGUACUGCCGACGCCGAGUCAUCGAUAGCGAGACGAGGGUUACAAAUGGGAGCGCCUUCGGGCGUUCUCCCCUAACCCUCCACACUGCCACCGACGACAUAAUCCACCCAUUUCACCCGUCUUGAAACACGGACCA